rnacentral:tRNA from 1 species
GAAAUAUAAUUAAAAGCUGCUAACUUUUUUCUGUAAUGAAAUUCAUUAAUAUUUCA